rnacentral:lncRNA from 1 species
UGUGGUGAUGCACGCCUGUAGUCCCAGCUACUCAGAAGGCUGAGGCAGGGGAAUCACUUGAAGGUGGCAGAGGUUGCAGUGAGCCGAGAUGGUGCCACUUGCACUCCCACCUGGGCAACAGAGCAAGACUCCAUCUCAAAAAAAAAAAGGGGAGAGAGAGAGAAAAAGAAAAGGAAGGAAGGAAGAAAGAAAGAGAGAAACUAGAAAACAAAGCAAGUGCUAAUAAACGGGUAUAGGCCAGUUUAUCUUGAUGUGCAUGAAGUCACCUGGCAAUUGGAUGAAAUGCAGAAGAGGCUUGGGAUUCUGCAUCUUUAACAAGCCCCCAAGUGAUGUUGAUAUUGCUAACCCUGAACUGCACUUUGAAUAAAGAGAAUCUUGACCACAGAGUACCAAGGAAAGCAUAAAGCUCUUUAGGUUUAGAACUGAUGAAUGAGCACUUAAAAUAGCGACUUGGACCAUUGGAACUUUUAUUUUGCGUCUUCUCUAAAAAAAUAAUCGUUACUUGCUGGAAAAAAAUCU